rnacentral:rRNA from 1 species
UACGUAGGGUGCGAGCGUUGUCCGGAAUUAUUGGGCGUAAAGGGCUCGUAGGCGGUCUGUUACGUCGGGAGUGAAAACUCGGGGCUCAACCCCGAGCCUGCUUCCGAUACGGGCAGACUAGAGGUAUGCAGGGGAGAAUGGAAUUCCUGGUGUAGCGGUGAAAUGCGCAGAUAUCAGGAGGAACACCAGUAGCGAAGGCGGCUCGCUGGGCCACUCCUGACGCUGAGACGCGAAAGCUAGGGGAGCGAACAGG